rnacentral:rRNA from 1 species
UUUGCAGAAGGUGCUUCGGGCGCGGCCGCGGUCCAAGUCCCGAGGAACAGGGCGUCGCAGAGGGUGAGAAUCCCGUAUGCGCCGCUGGCCAAGUCCGUGUGAAGCCCUUUCGACGAGUCGAGUUGUUUGGGAAUGCAGCUCCAAGUGGGUGGUAAAUUUCAUCUAAAGCUAAAUAUCUGCCGGAGACCGAUAGCGCACAAGUAGAGUGAUCGAAAGAUGAAAAGCACUUUGAAAAGA